rnacentral:sRNA from 1 species
AAUGCACCACAAGCUUUUGUUUGCACUUGUUUCACUUUUGUUUAAAAGUAAAGAACGGUAGUACAGCACGUAAUCCAGGGUGCUGAUGUUGUGGGAGGGGACUUAAAACAGAGUAAGGAAAUCAGAAACAAUUUUCUCCACACAGAAAAGAACAGAACUCUCUUACCUAUGAACCAGAAAAAUGUUUUACAAGGGCAGCAUGAAGCGGACAAAAUCUGGAGCAAAGAAGGAUUUUAUGCUGUUGUCAUUUUUCUCAGCAUCUUUGUUAUUAUAGUAACGUGUUUGAUGAUUCUUUACAGAUUAAAAGAAAGAUUUCAGCUUUCCUUAAGACAAGACAAAGAGAAAAACCAGGAGAUCCACCUAUCGCCCAUCACAUUACAGCCAGCACUGUCUGAGGCAAAGACAGUCCACAGCAUGGUCCAACCUGAGCAGGCCCCAAAGGUACUGAAUGUUGUCGUGGACCCUCAAGGCCGAGGUGCUCCUGAGAUCAAAGCUACCACCGCUACCUCUGUUUGCCCUUCUCCUUUCAAAAUGAAGCCCAUAGGACUUCAAGAGAGAAGAGGGUCCAACGUAUCUCUUACAUUGGACAUGAGUAGCUUGGGGAACAUUGAACCCUUUGUGUCUAUACCAACACCACGGGAGAAGGUAGCAAUGGAGUAUCUGCAGUCAGCCAGCCGAAUUCUCACAAGAUCUCAGCUGAGGGACGUCGUGGCAAGUUCACAUUUACUCCAAAGUGAAUUCAUGGAAAUACCAAUGAACUUUGUGGAUCCCAAAGAAAUUGAUAUUCCGCGUCAUGGAACUAAAAAUCGCUAUAAGACCAUUUUACCAAAUCCCCUCAGCAGAGUGUGUUUAAGACCAAAAAAUGUAACCGAUUCAUUGAGCACCUACAUUAAUGCUAAUUAUAUUAGGGGCUACAGUGGCAAGGAGAAAGCCUUCAUUGCCACGCAGGGCCCCAUGAUCAACACCGUGGAUGAUUUCUGGCAGAUGGUUUGGCAGGAAGACAGCCCUGUGAUUGUUAUGAUCACAAAACUCAAAGAAAAAAAUGAGAAAUGUGUGCUAUACUGGCCGGAAAAGAGAGGGAUAUAUGGAAAAGUUGAGGUUCUGGUUAUCAGUGUAAAUGAAUGUGAUAACUACACCAUUCGAAACCUUGUCUUAAAGAAAUAAAUUGCCAGCAAGAUGGGGGUGAUAAAAGGCAUUCAGUAUUGUGGUUUGGAUGACUUUUAGUUCUGCAAGUGAAUGAGGCAUUUGGUGGCUGUUGCUAUUUUCAGCAAGGAAGCCACACCCAACAUGUGAAGCAUUACUGGUACACCUCAUGGCCUGAUCACAAGACUCCAGACAGUGCCCAGCCCCUCCUACAGCUCAUGCUGGAUGUAGAA